GACGGAGGGUGCAAGCGUUGCUCGGAAUCACUGGGCGUAAAGGGUGCGUAGGCGGCGCGGUAAGUCGGGUGUGAAAUCUCGGGGCUUAACUCCGAAACUGCAUUCGAUACUGCCGUGCUUGAGGACUGGAGAGGAGACUGGAAUUUACGGUGUAGCGGUGAAAUGCGUAGAUAUCGUAAGGAAGACCAGUGGCGAAGGCGGGUCUCUGGACAGUUCCUGACGCUGAGGCACGAAGGCCAGGGGAGCAAACGGG
rnacentral:rRNA from 1 species